UACAGAGGUCUCAAGCGUUUGUUCGGAUUCAUUGGGCGUAAAGGGUGCGUAGGCGGCGCGGUAAGUCGGGGUGUGAAAUCUUGGAGCUUAACUCCGAAACUGCAUUCGAUACUGCCGUGCUUGAGGACUGGAGAGGAGACUGGAAUUUACGGUGUAGCGGUGAAAUGCGUAGAUAUCGUAAGGAAGACCAGUGGCGAAGGCGGGUCUCGUGGACAGUUCCUGACGCUGAGGCACGAAGGCCAGGGGGAGCAAACGGGG
rnacentral:rRNA from 1 species